GGCCACUGACAGCCCAAAAGCAGCCCAAGGAGCAGCUGGCGUGUCCUGGUGAUGGUGGCACGGGCUGCGUGCAGAGGGGCUCAGACAGCAAUUCCUGGUUCCAGCCUCCCAGAGCUCCCAGGCAGCUGCCAGCUAUUAAAUGCCAACCGACAGCCUGCAGAGAUGCCUUCAAAUCAAAGGUUCAGGUGGGAUGAAGUUUUGUUUGGACGAAGGUGGGAGUUUCCAGGGAGCCAGCUGGAAGUGCAGAAGGGAUGGAAAGCUUUCCCAGGUGCUGGACUUGCCUCUGUGGAUGUGUGCUGAGCUCUCACUACAGGGGACUGUGAGGCCUGACUGGCUGUGAGUUUGUGUUCUUCUCACAGGGGAAUCAGAAAUGAUCAUUAAUUAGACCACAGAAAUCUUUUCUGAAACCUUUCCCCUUUCCUGCCCUUUGCUGGUAAGUCUUUUCUUUCUGCCUUUAACUCUACAGCUGUUCCCUGAUGUCAUUGCCCCAGUCUCACUUCUGUGCAGCUCCUAGCUGGGGAAAACUCAUAAUAGAGCUGGUAACAAGUAAGCACUUGUUUCUACACUUCUUUUUCCAAAACUUUCACCAGAACUUAAUUUCACUAGUUAGGAAGCGUGGUGAGGGGUGCAGGAGGAGCAGGAAUAGGGAGGGAAGCCUUGAGCACUGCAGGCUACAAAGAUCUGCAUUUAUCAAUUUGAUUUAGUCCUGCUGUGUUAAGGAUACAUAAAUAGGCAAAAUCCAAGGCACAGGGUGAAGUUCCUGUGACAAUGCUACUGUG